UGGGGAAUAUUGGACAAUGGGGGAAACCCUGAUCCAGCCAUGCCGCGUGAAUGAUGAAGGCCUUCGGGUUGUAAAGUUCUUUUGGCGGGGACGAUAAUGACGGUACCCGCAGAAUAAGCUCCGGCUAACUUCGUGCCAGCAGCCGCGGUAAUACGAAGGGAGCUAGCGUUGUUCGGAAUUACUGGGCGUAAAGGGUGCGUAGGCGGUUAGACAAGUUGGAUGUGAAAGCCCAGGGCUCAACCCUGGAACUGCAUUCAAGACUGUCUGACUUGAAUUCGGUAGAGGUGAGUGGAAUUCCCAGUGUAGAGGUGAAAUUCGUAGAUAUUGGGAGGAACACCGGUAGCGAAGGCGGCUCACUGGACCGACAUUGACGCUGAGGCACGAAAGCGUGGGUAGCAAA
rnacentral:rRNA from 1 species